UUUAUGAAUUAACAUUGAACAUUUGGGUUAGUUUCGUGUCUCAUAUCUAUCAAUCACAUCCAAUGCUGAAGUCCAAAAUAAGAGUGUUUGGCAUUAAAUGAAAAAAAGAAAUGAUUUUGUUGAUUCUGAUGUUCGGCUCACCUCCAGGUCAUUGAAAAACAGACGUGAAUCUGCCAAGUUGAAGAUCAUCUCCUCCAUCCACAAGCCUAGAGACACAGCCUUGCCAGAGUCCUGGAUCAAAACACAGAAAGCACAUCAAUACAGGAAACAUCAUCAGGCUUUGGGAUGCCAAGCUGGUGAGUAAAUGAUGAGGACUAGUAAAUAAUUCUGUCCCUUUAAAACUGAAAACGUGCUUGGUGCCACUUCACCUCUGACCUUGACUGAGAGCGGUCAAUUUCACACUGCUAAGCCAAAAUCAGGACUGCGGGCAGAAGAGGGGCGACUGACUGUGAUCCGACGCUCAGAUCCCAUCUGAGACUCACUCCCACACAAACACGCUCCUCCAGAGGCCGGCGUGUAGCAGAGAAAGGUUCUGACCUCCUGAGAGAGCAGAGAGAGACGCCUGACGCCAGGAGCCAGACCGCGCAUAAUGGGGAACAGGGCUCCUCCAUCUGUCGGCCGGAGCAGAGAGACGCUCGAUGUGAGCAACAUCACAAGAGCAGCUGCUGUCAGGAGCAAAGAUGGAAAGGAAGGGCAGCAAAAGAAAGAGUGGUUCUCCAGGUCAGAGAUGCAGCGAUGGCUUUCUCACACCUGCUGAGGCACCACUCCUCACAAAACCUUUCCCAUGAAAAUAAACGUGAGCGGAGACGGCAAGCACAGGCCGCCCAGCAGAGUCCUGACUUCCUCCCAGAGCUCCUGUGAUGCGCAGUGUGUUUCCUGGUAUGAGCAAGAGGGCAUGGGAAAGAACGCUCUGCCCCCUUCCACAGUGGUAAACUGAGCUAAAACAAACCCGGGACGGGGCACGGCCGGGACAGAGCGCUUCACCUGGCCUCACGCUGUUCUGCUAGCAUUGGCGUCUUUCACGGCUAUCAUAUUCCACACAAUGUCUUACAUCAUACAUCAGUGAAUAUGGUCAAAUCUAUAUCUCUUUUUACCCAGCAUGAAUGUAGUCGUGAAGCUAAACCAGUUGGGGAACAACUGAUCACAUGACGAAGCCUUCAACAGUUGCUUCCCACUUUUUCAAUGGCAUUGGUUCCGGAAGUUUUUUUU